GAUGAACGCUAGCGGCAGGCUUAAUACAUGCAAGUCGAGGGGCAGCGGGGUAGCAAUACCGCCGGCGACCGGCAAACGGGUGCGGAACACGUACAGAACCUUCCUUUAAGCGGGGGAGUAGCCCAUAGAAAUGUGGACUAAUACCCACUAGUAAUAUUGAUGGCAUCAGUUGGUAUUUAAAGUAUUUAUCACUUAAAGAUGGCUGUGCGGCUGAUUAGGUAGUUGGUGUGGGUAACGGCCACCAAGCCAGCGAUCAGCAACUGGUGUGAGAGCACGACCAGUCACACGGGCGACUGAGACACGGGCCCGACUCCUACGGGAGGC
rnacentral:rRNA from 1 species